GUGCUCGCUUCAGCAGCACAUAUACUAAAACUGGAACAAUACAGAGAAGACUAGUAUGGCCCCUGUGCAAGGAUGGCAGGCCAAUGCAUGAAGUGUCCCAUACUUUU
ensembl:snRNA U6 U6 spliceosomal RNA